GGAGUUGUGGCUAAGUGGUAGAGCACUUCCCUAGCACAGGGUGCGGAGGAGGGGAGCUGGGUUCAAUCCUCAGCACCA
rnacentral:tRNA from 1 species